rnacentral:rRNA from 1 species
GGGAUUACCUCAGUAACGGCGAGUGAAGCGGUAACAGCUCAAAUUUGAAAUCUGGCUCUUUCAGGGUCCGAGUUGUAAUUUGUAGACGAUGCUUUGGGUGUGGUGCCGGUCUAAGUUCCUUGGAACAGGACGUCAUAGAGGGUGAGAAUCCCGUAUGUGAUCGGUCGCCUUCGCCCGUGUAAAGCUCGUUCGACGAGUCGAGUUGUUUGGGAAUGCAGCUCAAAAUGGGUGGUAAAUUUCAUCUAAAGCUAAAUAUUGGCCAGAGACCGAUAGCGCACAAGUAGAGUGAUCGAAAGAUGAAAAGCACUUUGGAAAGAGAGUUAAACAGUACGUGAAAUUGUUGAAAGGGAAGCGCUUGCAACCAGACUUGGGCUGUCGCAAUCAUCCGGGGCUCGCCCCGGUGCACUUGUGGCGGCACAGGCCAGCAUCAGUUUCGGUGGUGGGAUAAAGGCCUUGGGAAUGUAGCUUCUUUCGGGGAGUGUUAUAGCCCUCGGUGCAAUGCCGCCUACCGGGACUGAGGACCGCGCUUCGGCUAGGAUGCUGGCGUAAUGGUUGUAAGCGACCCGUCUUGAAACACGGACCAAGGAGUCUAACAUCUAUGCGAGUGUUUGGGUGUCAAACCCAUACGCGUAAUGAAAGUGAACGGAGGUGAGAACCCGUUAGGGUGCAUCAUCGACCGAUCCUGAUGUCUUCGGAUGGAUUUGAGUAAGAGCAUAGCUGUUGGGACCCGAAAGAUGGUGAACUAUGCCUAAAUAGGGUGAAGCCAGAGGAAACUCUGGUGGAGGCUCGCAGCGGUUCUGACGUGCAAAUCGAUCGUCAAAUUUGGGUAUAGGGGCGAAA